ACCUGUGUUGUUGCCUUCUCCUUCAGUUGAAUCAGUUGUCUUUUCUUUCAGUGACAGCCUCACAUUCCCAAUUAUUUUCCCAGUUUGCCAGUUUCAACUCAAUCUUUCAGCCUUGAAUUGCUCCCAAAGGGCCAAAAGGAAUCAUUUGUGGAGUCCCCUUCAGUAGAAGAUCAAGUCCAAGAGAGAGAGAGAGAAAGGGUCCAACAUCAAUGAAGGCUGUAGUGAUAACCACUCCAGGUGGACCAGAGGUCCUCCAACUACAAGAAGUUGAAGAUCCAGAACUCAAAGGCGAUGAGGUCCUGAUAAAAGUUGAGGCCACAGCGCUGAACCAAGCUGAAAUUCUUCAGAGGAAGGGCAUAUACCCACCACCCCCAGGUUCCAGCCCAUACCUGGGUCUCGAAUGUUCUGGAACCAUCGAGGCCGUUGGGAAGCAAGUGUCACACUGGCAAGUCGGUGACAAGGUGUGUGCUCUUCUUAGCGGAGGAGGGUAUGCUGAGAAGGUGGCUGUUCCAGCUGGACAAGUCCUUCUUGCUCCACCUGGUGUUUCUUUGCAGGAUGCUGCUAGUUUUCCUGAGGUUUCAUGCACUGUUUGGUCAACGGUGUUUAUGAUGAGUAGGCUAUCUGCUGGCGAAACAUUUUUGGUUCAUGGGGGCUCCAGUGGAAUUGGUACAUUUGCAAUUCAGAUAGCUAAAUACUUGGGAGCAAAGGUGUUCGUCACAGCAGGAAGUAAGGAAAAGUUAGCUUUUUGCAAGAAUCUUGGAGCUGAUGUAUGCAUCAAUUACAAGACAGAGGAUUUUGUUGCUCGGGUAAAGGAAGAAACGGGUGGCAAGGGUGUUGAUGUUAUCUUGGAUAUCAUAGGGGCAGAGUACUUUCGGUGGAACCUUGACAGCUUAAGUUUUGAUGGGAGGCUUUUUGUUAUUGGGACGAUGGGUGGUGCUGUUACAGAAAUAGAUCUUCGUGUUGUGCUUUCGAAGCGCCUUACCAUCCAAGCCGCCGGCUUGCGAUUCAGAAGUCCAGAAAACAAAGCAGCGAUUGUUAGGGAGGUGGAAAACAAUGUGUGGCCUGCAAUUGUGGCUGGCAAGGUGAAACCUGUGGUCUACAAAUAUUUUCCAUUAUCUGAAGCAGCAGAGGCUCACCGGCUCAUGGAAAGUAGCAAGUACAUUGGAAAGAUUCUGCUUCUUCCCUGAUGAUAUGAAUGUUAAGUAUUUUGAACUCAAAUAAACAACAUGGUUCAGAGUCUUCAGACUUUGUGAGCAGCUGGGGUCUAUCGUCUAGGAUAAUGUUUGAUUUGCAUAGCUUAAGUUGUUUAAUAUUCUUGUAUUAUGAGAAUUAAAUCAAGGUAUAGGUGUUUUGGGUAAGUGUUUGAUAAAUAUUUGUGAUCGAGAUGCUUUGUGUUUGUGAUGUGUGGGUUCGUGGAAGCAUUGCUAUGAGAUAUUGUGCUCUAGAUUAGCCGAUGAAUGUGACACAAAGUUAACUUCACGAUACACAUGAACCAAUUAUAGAUGUCGGCAUUGAGAAAGUGAAAAUGGAAUAUCUGUAACAAGUGAUGCAAUUCGCCAUGCUAGGAAGCAUGUUUA